rnacentral:rRNA from 1 species
GAUGAACGCUGGCGGCGUGCCUAAUACAUGCCAGUCGAGCGAACAGACGAGGAGCUUGCUCCUCUGACGUUAGCGGCGGACGGGUGAGUAACACGUGGAUAACCUACCUAUAAGACUGGGAUAACUUCGGGAAACCGGAGCUAAUACCGGAUAAUAUAUUGAACCGCAUGGUUCAAUAGUGAAAGACGGUUUUGCUGUCACUUAUAGAUGGAUCCGCGCCGCAUUAGCUAGUUGGUAAGGUAACGGCUUACCAAGGCAACGAUGCGUAGCCGACCUGAGAGGGUGAUCGGCCACACUGGAACUGAGACACGGUCCAGACUCCUACGGGAGGCAGCAGUAGGGAAUCUUCCGCAAUGGGCGAAAGCUUGACGGAGCAACGCCGCGUGAGUGAUGAAGGUCUUCGGAUCGUAAAACUCUGUUAUUAGGGAAGAACAAAUGUGUAAGUAACUAUGCCCGUCUUGACGGUACCUAAUCAGAAAGCCCCGGCUAACUACGUG